GUGAUGACCUGAGAUAUCGGGGGUAGGGGUUGCUCUGCUUGUGUAAGUCCCAGAGUGUGAAGGCCAGAGAACCAAGAGCUCCAAUGUCCCAGCUCAAGAAGAGAGAAAACUUUUGUGGAUAGCUAAGUUACUGCUGGCCAUCUGAUUAUAGCAAUGGCUUCCAGGAGCAUCACGACCUGUGCAGACUCACCAGCAUCAUAACAGGAGGGUCCCACGAUCAUGAGCACAUUGCCUUCAGCAUCUAGCACUGAAUAUGGUGAAUUGCACUCUGAAGAGCUUCCUAAGCUUAUAAGAAAGUGAUUCUGAAAAGCUCAACAUUUUGGUAGAAUGGAGAGAUUUGACAUUGCUUCUGCUCCAAAAGCAAAAGACUUGGGAAGGGCACCCUGGGAGUUGAGAACAUCCACCACAGAGAG